rnacentral:rRNA from 1 species
GACGUAGGGUCCGAGCGUUGUCCGGAAUUACUGGGCGUAAAGCGCGCGUAGGCGGUUUUGCAAGCCAGAGGUGAAAUGCCUGAGCUCAACUUAGGAAUUGCCUUUGGGACUGCGAGGCUUUGAGGACUGGAGAGGUGAGUGGAAUUCCCAGUGUAGAGGUGAAAUUCGUAGAUAUUGGGAAGAACACCGGUGGCGAAGGCGGCUCACUGGCCAGUUUCUGACGCUGCAGCGCGAAAGCGUGGGGAUCAAACAGG